UCUAAUAGAGUUUGCCAUCCGCUGGGCCGUGCCAGACAGAUGGGUCAUGAAUACUGUCUAGACGCUCUCUGCCUGAGCGAAGCCCUGGUCUCUAAGGACACGCAAUGAGACGCCGGCUUAAGUAACUGGGGAAAGUCAGGGCAAGCUCUCCUGUAAUCAGAUAGAAAUCAAUGUGAUCCUGCUUCCUAGCCAAGGAAUGUGGGCAGCUUCUAGAAGAUGGAAAAGGCAAACAAAUACUCUCCCCUAGAGCUCUGGGAAGGAACACAGCUCUGCCACCUCCUUGAUUUUCACCCAGUGAAAUUAGUUUUGGAUUCCCAACCUAUAGAACUGUAAAGUAACAAAUUUGUGUUUUAAGACCAGGUGUGGUGGCUCACGCCUGUAAUCUCAGCACUUUGGUUUUGGAAGGCCAAGAAGUAAUCUUUAAAAUGGUGCUCCGAGCAUAAUUUUCAUAUAGUAACACAUAGUUUGCAAUUAGUUGUCUCUUUCAGGGAUAAUGGAAUUGUUCAACAUAAGAAAAUCAGGCCUGGGCACGGUGGCUCAGGCCUGUAAUCCCAGCACUUUGGGAGGCUGAGGUGGGCAGAUCACUUGAACCCAGGAGUUCAAGACUAGCCUGGGCAACAUGGCAAAAGCCUGUUUCUACAAAAAACUCCACUUCCUAAUAUCCUCACAUUGGGAAUUAGGUUUCAACAUGUGAGUUGUAGUGGGGCACAAACAUUCAGUCUAUAGCAGGGUAUUUAUGAGAAACCUACUAACACCAUACUCAGUGGUGAAAGCUUUAACCCCUAAGACAAGGAACAAGAGAGGAUACCCACUUUUACCAAUGCUGUUCAACAUUGUACUCCAGGUUCUA
rnacentral:lncRNA from 1 species